GAUGAACGCUGGCGGCGUGCCUAAUACAUGCAAGUCGAGCGAACGGACGAGAAGCUUGCUUCUCUGAUGUUAGCGGCGGACGGGUGAGUAACACGUGGAUAACCUACCUAUAAGACUGGGAUAACUUCGGGAAACCGGAGCUAAUACCGGAUAAUAUUUUGAACCGCAUGGUUCAAAAGUGAAAGACGGUCUUGCUGUCACUUAUAGAUGGAUCCGCGCUGCAUUAGCUAGUUGGUAAGGUAACGGCUUACCAAGGCAACGAUGCAUAGCCGACCUGAGAGGGGGAACGGCCACACCGGGAAAGAGACACGGGCCAGACUCCCAAGGGGGGGAGAAGGGGGGGAAUUUUCCGAAAGGGGGGAAGGCCGACCGAGACAACCCGCGGGGAGGAAGAAGGGUUUCGGGUUGUAAAAACCUUUUUUUUGGGAAAAAAAAUUUGUGGAAAAAACCGGGGCCUCUUGGCGGGAACCUAAGAAAAAGCCCCGGGUAAAUUCGGG
rnacentral:rRNA from 1 species